rnacentral:rRNA from 1 species
UACGGGGGGAGCAAGCGUUGUUCGGAUUUACUGGGCGUAAAGGGCGCGUAGGCGGUCAGCACAAGUCAGUUGUGAAAUCUCCGGGCUUAACUCGGAAACUGCCAUUGAUACUAUCUUUCUUGAAUACCGUGGAGGUCAGCGGAAUAUGUCAUGUAGCGGUGAAAUGCUUAGAUAUGACAUAGAACACCAAUUGCGAAGGCAGCUGGCUACACGAAUAUUGACACUGAUGCACGAAAGCGUGGGGAUCAAACAGG